rnacentral:rRNA from 1 species
UAUAGCAAUUGCUAUUUGCACUAAAGUUUUUAGUGUAAAAUCGACUUUGUCGAAUAAAAUUCUGGGUAGAAUUAUGAUAAUGACAUUAUCUACUUAUAAGUCUUGACCAAAUUACGUGCCAGCAGUCGCGGUAAUACGUAAAAGACAAGUGUUAUUCAUCUUUAAUAGGUUUAAAGGGUACUUAGACGGUAAAUAAAGCCUCUAAAAGGGACUAGUUUGCUAGAGUUUUAUAUGAGGGAGUUUUAAAGUACUACUGGUGUAGAGAUGAAAUUCAGUUAUACCUUACAUGGCACAGGUUAAGGCGAAAGCAUCUUCUUAUGUAAAAACUGACGUUGAAGGACGAAGGCUUUGUGUCUCGAACAGGAUUAGAUACCCUAGUAGUCUAAGCAGAAAAUCAUGAAUGUCAUAGAUUAGAUUUAAUUUGAUCUGUAAAUGAAAGUGUAAGCAUUCCACCUCAAGAGUAAUUUGGCAACAUUGGAACUGAAAUCAUUAGACCGUUUCUGAAACCAGUAGUGAAGUAUGUUGUUUAAUUUGAUAAUCCGCAAAAAACCUUACCACAAUUUGAAUAGAUAUAAUUUAUCAUACAAGCGUUGCACGGCUGUCUUCAGUUAAUGUCGUGAGACUUUGGUUAGUUCCAUUAAAUUAACGUAAACCCUUAUUUUAUUUUUAUAUAAAAUAGUUCACCGCUAUAUUGGAUGUGAUAAUAGGGAUCAAGACAAGUCAUCAUGACCUAAAUAUUGUGGGCUAUA